GGAAUAAAAGUCGUAACAAGGUCCCCGUUGGUGAACCAGCGGAGGGAUCAUUACAGAGUUGCAAAACUCCCAAACCAUUGUGAACGUUACCUAUCCCGUUGCUUCGGCGGGCGGCCCGGGCCCCGCGCCCGGCGCCCCCCGGCCCCCCGUGGGCGCCCGCCGGAGGUAAACCAAACCCUUGAAUUGCAUGGCCUCUCUGAGUCUUCUGUACUGAAUAAGUCAAAACUUUCAACAACGGAUCUCUUGGUUCUG
rnacentral:misc_RNA from 1 species